rnacentral:lncRNA from 1 species
CGGGGACAGCGCGGCGACGGGGACCGCGACGGCGGCGGGCGGGGGCGCAGGCCCUUCCCGUCGGACACCUCUGAGGGCAGCCCGAGCCCGCCCUGCUGGUCCGGUGUCUUGCCGGAGUGGGCAGAGGGCCAUGUUAAGAGCUGGCCACCCGUCCCUGUCACCUCAGUGCCACCCACUGCUGGAGCCCUGCUGUGCUCGCUGAGCCCCAGCUCUCAGCCUCUGCCACCCUGGAUGAGCAGCCCACUCCACUCCAGUCCCAGCCCUGUGAAGCGCUGGCCCUCGCCACACUUCCUGGGGAGAGACAGCCGGCGAGCGGCCAGGCAGUGGCUGGUGUUGGCACUCAGUGCUGCACUUAGCCUUG